UUCCGGGGGUUAUGGCCUUCUUUAAAUGGUGUAUAGAGUAAUCCUCUGUAGUCUUUCAAUACCAUCCAAUUACAAAAGCAUGACAGUCUAGAUCAUUUUAAAAUGCCACAAGUAAAAUGGCGAAUAGUUUUCUCUCCCAAGACCUAGGCAAGUAUUAGUUUAAUGGGCCAGCAGUGGGAAAAAUACCUUAAACAUGUAUCAUUUAAAGAAUCUCUUUGUAGUGAUAUUUUCUUACAUUUGUUUUUCUAACUUGCUUUCGUGUUAGGGCCUUUCAUCUAGGGUAUUAGGUGUCUGAUAGUGAAAGCAGUGUCAUGAUAUAGAAAUGUAUUGUAAAAACAGCGGGGAAGGAAUUUUGUCAUGUAAUACAAUAUAAUAGCUUCUUAAUAUCAGACU
rnacentral:lncRNA from 1 species